ensembl:lncRNA
CAUUGACUACAGCUCAGCGUUCAACACCAUAGUGCCCUCAAACCUCAUCAAUAAGCUAAGGACCCUGGGACUAAACACCUCUCUCUGCAACUGGAUCCUGGACUUCCUGACGGGCCGCCUCCAGGUGGUAAGGGUAGGUAAUAAAACAUCAGCCACGACUGCACCGCCAGGCACGACUCCAACACUAUCAUUAAGUUUGCUGAUGACACAACAGUAGUAGGCCUGAUCACGACAACGACGAGACAGCCUAUAGAGAGGAGGUCAGAGACCCUGCUGUGUGGUGACAGGACAACAACCUCUCCCUCAAUGUGAUCAAGUCAAAGGAGAUGAUUGUGGACUACAGGAAAAGCACGCCCUCAUUCUCAUCGACGGGACUGUAUUGGAGCAGGUUGAGAGCUUCAAGUUCCUUGGUGUCCAAAUCACCAACAAACUAAAAUGGUCCAAGCACACCAAGACAGUCGUGAGUGAAGAGGGCACGACAAAACCUAUUCCCCCUCAGGAGACUGAAAAGAUUUGGCAUGGGUCCUCAGAUCCUAAAAAAGGUUCUACAGCUCUACCAUCGAGAGCAUACUGACUGGUUGCAUCACUGCCUGGUAUGGCAACUGCUCGGCCUCCGACCACAAGACACUACAGAGGGUAAUGCGUACGGCCCAGUACAUCACUGGGGCAAAGCUUCUUGCCAUCCAGGACCUCUAUACCAGGCGGUGUCAGAAGAAGGCCCUAAAAAUGGUCAAAUACUCCAGCUACCCUAGUCAUAGACUGUUCUCUCUGCUACCACACGGCAAGUGGUACCGGAGCGCCAAGUCUAGGCCCAAGAGGCUUCUAAACAGCUUCUACCCCCAAGCCUUAAGACUCCUGAUCCUGAACAUCUAAUCAAAUGGCUACCCAGACUAUUUGCAAUGCCCCCCCUAUUUUACACCUCUUCUACACUCUGUUGUUAUCAUCUAUGUAUAGUCACUUUAAUAACUCUACCUACAUGUACAUAUUACCUCAAUUACCUCGACUAACUGGUGCCGACUAAUCGACUAACCACAUUAACUCUGUACCGGUAACCCCUGUAUAUAGUCUCACUAUUGUUAUUUUACUGCUGCUCUUUAAUUACUUGUUACUUUUAUUUCUUAUUCUUAUUCAUAUUUUUUUGUGUUUUUUUUUUAAAACUGCAUUGUUGGUUAGUGGCUCGUAAGUAAGCAUUUCACUGUAAGGUUGUACCUGUUGCGCAUGUGACAAAUAAAAUUUGAUUUGAUUUGAUACCACCUAUGUAGCUAUAGCUCAAACACAGACCAAAUGGCAGCUUACCUUGUAAGAUGUUUACUGUUUGGUGAAAACAUUGUGUAAAAUAAACAUUUUGACUCUCGGGGCUGGUGAUCAAUAACGGUUGGUCACAGACAGACAAAUAAGACAUCCUCAUAAUCUGUGGAGUCUCGGCUUUAGGUAUGUAUCAACGCAUUCUGUGUUUAAUUCCUUUAUGCUUCACAAUG